GGCAAACUAUGUGCUUGUUCACUUGUUCUUCUUUGGAUCUUACUUACAUCAUGGUCCUAUUUCAAAUUUCUGCAAAUUCCGUUUGCAUGCAUUUGUAAAGUGUAAAGCGGGAUUGACUAUUGUUAGAAUAAUCAAUAUGCUGUUCCAAUUCAUGGGGCAAUCCAUUCAGUUUAGAUUGGUGGAAGUAAGCGAAAGAGAAAAAUCUGAAUUAAGCCUACUUAUAAAAGCUAACGGAGGAGUCGUAUCGGAAAACUCUUUGAUAAAAUUUACUAGCAGAAAUGCUCACAUAGAAGACGGAGAUCUAUAUCUUGUGGAUUUCAUAUACGAUUGUGUAAAGCAGAACAAGAUCUUGGACAUAACAAAAUAUAAGUAUGGAACUAAGGGGAUUGGAUGUCCGAUGAGCCAGUUCUUGACAGGAAGCGCAUCCUGCAUGGCGUUCACCAACAUGGAUGCUACUUUUUGUCCUUUACAUCAAUCCACAUUAUUGGAUAACAGCGUCAGAAUACUAAGACUUGUUGACGAUCAAGUCAGAAUACAAAAUGAGCAUGAUUAUGGUGAUAAUAUUAUGAGAGAGAUACGUCCCUCUUACAUCCAAUAUGAAGAAAUAGUGCUGCCGACGACAGAUACCGAAGGCUCCAUACCAGACUCAAUGUAUUAUCCGGACGAAUCUCAUUCACAAAACAGUUGUCUGCGGGCAGAUAGUAAUGUUGAAAAUCAAGAAACGUUAGGGGGCGAACUGGUUACUGAUGUUCCAUCACCGGCGAGAUUCGAAGAGAAAAGUUACGACGACGCUUCAAAUGAGGUGAAUCCUGAAAAUGGAAGAGAUAUCGAAAAUAUUCAUUCCCAGGAUGAUUCCGACCCGAUCAGGAUACUUGGCCGAACAAAAAUAGAAGAUAUUCUCAGAAGGGAUAAUUUUCGAUUGACUUCUUCCGACAGUGACGAAACAAUUGAGAAUGCCUCAUCAUGGAUUGAAUGCAGGCGAAAAAAAUCGUACAAGCCGAGUAGUAAUGAUGAUACGGCAUGGUCAUCGUCACAAGACGAAAAAGCAACUAAUGUCAAAAGUCGGAAAAAAGAUAUCAGACAACAGCCAAGCUGCUCCAACUGGACAGGAACUAAAAAAUUUGCAUCCAAGAAUAAACCUUCAAUACAAGAAAGACUGACAAGAAAAAUGAUUCUGAUGUGUCAGAGGUGGGUCCCAAUCGUCUUCCAAAUCCUACCAAUAAAGUCCGUCAAAGUAAUAGAAUAUUACAAUCGACAGCAAGACGACGUCGUCCUAUACACAGAAAUUUUGAUAACUGGGAACAGCAAGAGAUGGUAAAUUACCUAAUCAAAAACAGCUGUAUCAGUGAAGCACGUGGAAAUAGAGUAUGGAAGCAGAUGAUCGAAGAAGGGCUGCUGAAGCACAGAACUGUUCACUCCCUCAACAAUCACUUUCGGAGAUACAUCCUGCCAAAUAUUCAUCUAUAUAGAAUGAGUAAAGAUAGUCGAGAAGAGUUCCAACGUCUUAAACAAUAGGUUUCAUCGUAUCAAAUAAAAAGAGCUAUUAUUUUUCUA
rnacentral:misc_RNA from 1 species